CUGGGCUCUCGCUGUUUGAACCUCCUUGGAUUUCAUCAGUACCUCACUGACGAUGACUUGACCUCUGACCUGGUGGAUGAAGGCAGGGAACUUAUUAGAAGAGAAAGAAGAAAAAGACAGAAAGCUGAGGAUGGAGGAAAUCGAAGAUUGGCCUGGAGGGAACAGUAUGGAGUCCAGGGAGCUGCUGGUAGGACCAGAGCUGGUUACACUGAGUUGAAGGAUAACCAGAGCAGCACAGUUACAGAGAUCAACA